rnacentral:rRNA from 1 species
AGUGAACGCUGGCGGCGUGCCUAAUACAUGCAAGUCGAACGGAGUGGCGCACGGGUGAGUAAUGUAUAGCUAAUCUGCCCUACACUAGAGGACAACAGUUGGAAACGGCUGCUAAUACUCUAUAGUGUAGGAUGAGGCUAUAUUGUAUCAGCUAGUUGGUGAGGUAAUGUCGCACCAAGGCGAUGACGCAUAACUGGUCUGAGAGGAUGAUCAGUCAAACCGGAACUGAGACACGGUCCAGAAUCCUUCGGCAGGCAGCAGUAGGGAAUAGGGCUCAAUGGGUGAAACCCUGAAGCAUCAUCGCCGCGUGGAGGAUGACACUUUGCGGAGCGUAAACUCCUUUUGUUAGGGAAGCGGUACCUAACGAAUAAGCACCGGCUAACUCCGUGCCAGCAGCCGCGGUAAUUC